rnacentral:rRNA from 1 species
GACGGAGGAUGCAAGUGUUAUCCGGAAUCACUGGGCGUAAAGCGUCUGUAGGUGGUCAAAUAAGUCAACUGUUAAAUCUUGAGGCUCAACCCCAAAAUCGCAGUCGAAACUAUUAGACUAGAGUAUAGUAGGGGUAAAGGGAAUUUCCAGUGGAGCGGUGAAAUGCGUAGAGAUUGGAAAGAACACCGAUGGCGAAGGCACUUUACUGGGCUAUUACUAACACUCAGAGACGAAAGCUAGGGUAGCAAAUGGG